CCUACGGGCGGCAGCAGGGAGGAAUAUUGGUCAAUGGACGAGAGUCUGAACCAGCCAAGUAGCGUGAAGGAUGACUGCCCUAUGGGUUGUAAACUUCUUUUAUAUGGGAAUAAAACGUUCCACGUGUGGGAUUUUGUAUGUACCAUAUGAAUAAGGAUCGGCUAACUCCGUGCCAGCAGCCGCGGUAAUACGGAGGAUCCGAGCGUUAUCCGGAUUUAUUGGGUUUAAAGGGAGCGUAGGUGGAUUGUUAAGUCAGUUGUGAAAGUUUGCGGCUCAACCGUAAAAUUGCAGUUGAAACUGGCAGUCUUGAGUACAGUAGAGGUGGGCGGAAUUCGUGGUGUAGCGGUGAAAUGCUUAGAUAUCACGAAGAACUCCGAUUGCGAAGGCAGUUCACUGGACUGCAACUGACACUGAGGCUCGAAAGUGUGGGUAUCAAACAGGAUUAGAUACCCCUGUAGUC
rnacentral:rRNA from 1 species